rnacentral:misc_RNA from 1 species
UUUUCGAGCAAUAAAGGAGAGUGACUUCCCCUACAGUUCGACAAAAGUAAGCGAAGUCGUUGUUCACACACAUGUGGAUGCGUUUCGUACAGUGCAUAAUCCUCUUAUCCGUUACAACCAUCACCCAUUUCGCGCAAAAAUCUGAAAGGCUUGUUGUGAUGACAAGGUUAAAGCCUGGACGGAGUUUGCACUGGUAACUGUAACACACACCAUUCAGACUAAACUUGACGAGUUGUUGCUGAGUGAUAACUGGCAUGAACCACUGACCAAGCAUCUUCCCUUUCACCACUGAAUUAGAUGCUGGAAAUGAAAAAGUGCAAGUUUAUCGUAUUCAGUGGUAGAGGUCAUACAAAACAAAUUUUUAUGGUUGUCACUUGCUUCAUUUUGGAUUUGGUUGCGCAGUGCCCACCUCCCUGUGAGUGUAAUCUAGGCAUUGCUGACUGUUCAGCCAGAAGACUUACUUCACUCCCACCACUGCCAACAAGAAGCAUUCUUGUUGUAAAUGCCAGUUUUAAUUACUUGUCAUCAUUUUCUUGCAGCAAAGAUCAAAUGUCAGGACUGAAAGUGCUUGAUCUUAGUCACAACCAGAUCUCUGCGAUUCCAGCAAGCACAUUUUCUUUUGUGUCAUGUUUACAUCUAGACGUUUUAAACCUUACUGGAAAUAACUUGAGAAGUUUGGCAUUUGAACUACCAUCAUCCCUAAAGGUUUUGAAACUUAGCCACAAUCAGUUUCAGAAGUUUUCAUUGUCUACUGUAAGAAAUCUAACAGAGCUUGAGACAUUACAUCUUUCCUACAAUAACAUCACUAUGAUGAUCACUAGACUGGAAAAUCACAAAUUUUCAAAUGGUUGCCCAUUUGAACCAUUCCAGAAGCUAAUUGAAGUUUCUCUUCAAGGAAACAAACUAACAAUGCUUGAUGCUCAUGUUUUUCAAUGUUUUCAGAAAGUAGUCUACAUGUCUUUGGCAGAUAAUAGAAUUGAUUCUAUUCCAGCACAAUUGUUCAGCUCAUUCCAGCAGUUAAGAUUUCUUGAUUUAUCAAGAAACAGUUUGACAUUUAUUCCUGCUGGAACAUUCAGUAAAAUGUCAAGCAUGAAGUAUUUAUCUCUUGCCAACAAUCAUCUAGAAACAGUGCCAGUUAAUCUGCCCAUGAUGGAAUGGCUUGAUCUGUCAAACAAUAGUAUCAAUGCAGUGGCAGAGGAGCAGAAGACUGACUUGUAUCCACAGAAUAUACAUUGAGGUCACUAUAUACAGAUAAAGGACAAAUUUACUGACACCACAAAUGUACAUGGAUGCAGUGCAAGUCAGAGAGCUAAUAUGGAGGUAUUUUUGAUUGGAAGGAAUCCUCUGCAUUGUGACUGUGGACUCUUGUGGUUGAAAGAACUGUUUGAUUCGAGGAAGUAUUUGCUAAAGUACAUCCAUGUGGAUAAGGAGGAGUUUGUGCCUACCUGUUCCCA